GUUUCAUGAUAGUACCAAGAUUCCACUAUAAUUAAACACUAAUUAUAGCAUCAAGCAUUCUUUAUGCAUAUAGCCUUUCAUGGCUCAACAACUGGAGUAUGUUUCGCAUCUAGCCUCUUCAGGUCAAUGGUUGUGGAGGUAGCGCAUUGGACGCUUGCGGAGAAGAGUACAUGAUAGAGUAGCGGAUAAUAUGUAAUUGAUAUGUUAUAUGAUAAAUAUUUGUAAUAUGAAGAACAUGUUAAAGUAAAUUCAUGUAUAAACAACUUUCCUGUAAGUGUAUAUUGAAGUGGAUCUAAUGUUUGUAUUCAAGGUAAUUUUGAGAAAGUGUAAUUGUAUAAAUGAUGUAUUUGAACGGAAGUGUAAUGACAUGCUUUUGAAAUGAAGGGUGUUU